rnacentral:lncRNA from 1 species
GCUUGGUCCAAAGAUUUCAAUUCUAGCGGGUCCCGCGCUAAGGAACUCCAAUUGCCAAAUUUCUCACCAAAAUUUAUGCUCCCUCAUUAUUCAAUAAAUUGCAUUUAACUUUAAAGCAUGGGUCCCACCGUGUGAUUGCAAAUUCCAGUAGCUGCCAAUACACACUUCUAAUUACUCAACACAUAACUAAUUUUUGUUAGUUAAAAGCGCCCACAAUCACGCUUUCACCAAUUCAACAAUUUCCAAUUUGCUUUCACUGAUUCUACUUUAAUUUCUUCAAUUAAUUGCACACCUUGCUAGUACUUGAUUCACCUGCACCUUCGGCACACCAUUUCUCAUCAAAUUCUUCAAAUUUACGGACCCCACAAUUCACUACAUCAGCUUCACUCAAUUUGUAAUUCACAAAUUGAAUUAAAAUGUAGACAUACUUUUUUUUUCAAAAUGAUCAACAAUUUCAAGCAAUCAAAUCUGAAUCAGAACAGCUAGUAUGAAGACCUACGCUUGUCAAUUACAAUUUCAAAAUUCACCAACAGCUUCACUUUGCCAAUUUCACAAGCUAAACCGGAAAAUUCUGCAUCAAGACUUGCACCAGUAAAAUUCUUGCUUCAACAAAAUUGAACCAAUUUAGUUUACGCACUUUGCUUUCUCUAUCUCACUUUUCUUGCAUUCAAUGAGGCAAUUUUAAUUAAAUCUCUGGAUCAAUACACCAACCAAUUAUGCGCCGAAAUUUUACUCAAUUAAGCAUUGCAGUCGUAAACACCAAUUAUGAACCAAAUGAUGCAAACAAUUCAAGUCAUCAUACUACAUCACAACAUCGUGAUCAAUUCAUCAAACAGUUUCAAUGCACAAAAUUAUACCACCAAAUUUUACUAAUCACAAGAGAAACUGCACACCAAUUUCGAAACCAAUCACCGCUGCAUCAAUACCAGCAACAUCAAGGGAAACACCAGAAUUUAUUAAAAAAAAUUGAAUGAAUCUAAUUUUUUUUUUAAAUUCAAUUAGGCAAAUAAACCUCCACUACACACAUGCAUACUCCAGCUGCUGCCAAAAUUUAAACCACAGAGGAAUUUAAGCAAACAACUUAUCUGCAGUUCUUGUUUACGUAGCAAAACCAAAAUUCUCACUAAACAAUACGAACUCCAGCUUCAAUUGAUUUUGGUUCUGCACUCCAAACUGCUCUGUUCAACGCAGAUGCUGAUAUGAACGAUCGUGUGUAGAAGCGUCUAGGUCUUCUCGUAAGAGAUUUCGAAGAACGAUUAGGCUUUGGACAAAGGGAACCUUUAGGUGGCUUCCGAUUAUACCAAGAACAAGAACAAUGAUAGAGAAUUGAGAAAAGGAAACAAACUGCAUAUAUUAUUCAUAUAUCAAAUAAUAGUUCAAUACUUUAUUUAUAGAGUACUAAAUAUCAUAAAAUCCCAAUAAAAUCCUAAUAAAAUCCUAAUAAAAUCCUAACUAAUUAAAUAAAUGAUAAAAUCCUAAUAAAAUCCUAAUAAAAUAAAUAAAUGAUAAAAUUCUAACUAAUUAAAUCUUAACAACCCAAUAAUAAUAUUAAUCAAAUCCCAAAACUUUAGCGUAUAACAGAUGCCAAAUUUCAUUCUAAUUCUAGAAAUCAUUUGAAUGAAACACGCACCGAUUCAAAAUGAACAAAUUGCAACCCACAGUUCACCUAUUCUCCGAUUAAUCUUCUCCAAAAUCGCUCCACAAUACGAAGAACAAUGAACGCAAAAGGUAGAACCAAAAAUCUUCGGAAUCGGAAGUGAAAGCAGAAGAAGAACUUACAUGAAUCAAUUCAUUCUUCACUACUUUAAUUCUUCGAUUUUCAAUUCACCAGACCAACUCGAUCGUGAUUCAAACAGAUUUCUCCGGUCGUCUUCUCCGUUCACCGAUUUCACUGGAAAACGCCACUGUCGUUUGCGAUUCCUUCGUUCAC